rnacentral:tRNA from 1 species
UAGUUUGUAUUUAUACUUAAUUUCGACUUAAGUUUAGGCUAAAUUAA